rnacentral:rRNA from 1 species
UACGUAGGGCGCAAGCGUUGUUCGGAAUUACUGGGCGUAAAGGGCGCGCAGGCGGCUGCUCAAGUCAGGCGUGAAAGGCCUGGGCUCAACCCGGGAAUUGCGCUUGAGACUGGGCUGGCUUGAGUGCGGGAGAGGAUGGUGGAAUUCCCAGUGUAGAGGUGAAAUUCGUAGAUAUUGGGAAGAACACCGGUGGCGAAGGCGGUCUGCUGGGGUGAGGCUGACGCUGAUGCGCGACAGCGUGGGGAGCAAACAGG